CGUUGCUGAUUGGAUCGCACUUUUAUUAGAUCUCCUGGUGACCUUUUUCAAACAAUACAUUUUAACUGCAUAGUAAAGUAAAACCAAAAUGAAAAAAUGGAAUUUCUAUUACGUUGGUGACUGGAUCAUACAAAUACAUAUUGGGAAACCAGCUCGGAGAGUGAUUAUUCACCAUUUUAAACAAACUUAAAUUUAAAGCAAAAGUACAUCACAGUUAUAUAAAUUAUAAAUUAUAUUGUACCUCUUGUGACAUAACCAUGAAUGCUGACGUGAGUGAAUUUAGCACCAUUCUGCAAAACUGUCAGAAGAAAACGAUCAGCAAUGUUUCAAAUGUGCCUUCAGUCCGGUCCUGUCCGAAUUGCAAAGAGGCUAUCGAACACGUUGAUGCUUGCCACAACAUGGGGUGCGUCAACUGUAACCGUCACUUCUGUUUUAUUUGCUUGGAGAAAGCAGACGAUAGAGGAAAUUUAAAGUGUCGUCAACCACACACUGUUGCCCCAGUUCAAACUCCUACAUGAUUGAGGAGUAGGAAGUGAACAAAAUGGACGAUGUUGGAUGAACCUGAAACAUGUUUUUUGUGGACGUGUUUUGCUAUUAUAUUUUAUAAUUAAAGGUUCAAACAAG